UGGGGCGGUUGCAACAUCCCCUCGCUCCGCCAGUCAAUAAAGGGUGCCCAUUGCAAAACUCAGCGGAGAAAUUAAGUGUUGUGUCAUCCUGCGGCCAGGCCCUGGGUGCCCCUUUCCUGCCCGGAGGCCUGGGUGGGGCCAGCUCCUCACUCUCGCCCUCCACGGCGGGCCUUGGAGAGCUGGGGUCGGGGUCAGCAGGGGGCUUCGGGGAGUGGGCAGGGUCCGGACCGCGCUCUGGGUCCACCCACGGCCAACCACUCUCAGGAGGGGCAGGUCCGUCCUCCUGGGUGCUCGGGCCCAGACGCGGGUGAGUCGACUCUUCUCUUGCCCCACAUCCAGGAAUCGGUCAGGAAGUCCUGUCGGCUCUCCCUUUAAGAUACAUCAGAAUCCAGCCAGGGUCCCCUCCACCUGCAACCAGGGGGUCAGAGCACCUUCUGUGGCCUCACGACUCCACCUUCCUCCGCUUGGCCCACUCCCCACGCGCGGCCGAGGGGCCCGUUGCUUCCAGAUAGGGCCUGUUGUCUGUCUUGUUCAUGAUGACCCCCGGCGCUCAGCCUGGGCCUGGCACACAGUAGGUAUUCCACAGAGAUGUGCUGAAUCCGUGAAGGGGUGGCAGGAGGGGUGACAUUGGUGCAGAUCGUGCCGCCGUGAAUCGCAAGCCCCCUUCUCCGGCUGGUGGCGUGCGGACGGUGCUAUGGGCACACUCCGCGGCCUGCAGGUCGCAGCUGGGGGGUCCUCCUGGCUGCCCUGUCGAGUGGCCCGUGCUGCCCAGCUCCCUGACGCGCUCACCCGGCGCUGGGCUGCUGUGUUCCCCUGCUUCUCAUCAGCCUCCUCCCCAGACCCGGAGCCCUCUGAGGACCGGCCCUCAUCUGCCUCGGUUCCACUGCUGUCC
rnacentral:lncRNA from 1 species